GCCAGAGGCUAAGUCACUUGGCUGGACUCACACGCUGGCAAGUUCAAACCCAGUUCAAUUGUCUUGCAAAAAAGCCCAUUUACUAAGUCACCAAAAUUCUAACUGCAGGUUCCCCCCUCAGAGAUUCUUGACAUCAUGUUCAUGGGUCAAAACCAGCAUUUGCAAAAAAAAAAAAGAAAGGAAAAGAAAACCCAGGAUAGAAUGGAAUAAAAUACAGCUUAGGGUAUUGCCUGCAGUAAAGGCGAGGGUUGCUUCUUGCAGACUUGGUUCCCUUUUGGACACCUAUCUGUAGACGGGUGUCCCAGGUUGUGAUGUGAAACCUCUUUCUUGCGGCUGAUCACGGCCAAGGCGAGGCUGGAAACCGCUGCUCUGGGAGGCUCUUGUGUUCCCCACCUCUGCCCCUUCUUUCCUGCUGACCCUGGGUCCUAGUAAUGAGCCACAGGAGAGGCAGUCCAUGUCCACCCCCCGGCACCUUCUGGUUUCUCAUAAUGCAGUAUUGUGAAGUCGGGGGAAGGCUGGCAGAGGGGCCGGGCCCACGACUUGAGCUGCCACGGCAGGGGGGUCCUGGGGAAGGCCACGUGAGCCCUCCCUGACUCAGGGUCCAGCCCAGCCCAGACCUCCGCCAACCUCGUAUAAUCUGCUGCGAUGUCUGUGCCGCCAGCCCCAGCCCCGGCGAUGAGUCAGAGUCCUGGUGCCCCAGCAUCAUCCCUCCAGCCCCGGCUGCAGGAAGGAGUGGGGCUGCAGAGCCGAGAGGCCUUUCAUUUGUUUGAUCACCUCUUGGAGCCAGUUCUGGCAAGUGAAAUGUAGACGGAAGUUCCUGGGAAAGGCUUCUCUUCCCUACGGAAGCCUGGCUCAGAGAGAACUAUUUGUCUUUCCCUCUUCUUCCUCUGGGUAUAGGCACGAUCUCUGGAGGGACAGCAGCCAUCUUGAGACCAUGAAGAUGUACGAUAAAGAUGAAAGAAAAGAACAAUAGAAGAAGCACAUUUGUGACUUUGUGACAUUCAGACUUCAACUGCUCACCUUCAGACUUCUUAUCCAUUUACACACUGAAAUGAGAUUCUUUGACUUGUAGGCAAAUACAAU
rnacentral:lncRNA from 1 species